rnacentral:rRNA from 1 species
AUUGAACGCUGGCGGCAUGCUUUACACAUGCAAGUCGAACGGUAACAGGCCGCAAGGUGCUGACGAGUGGCGAACGGGUGAGUAAUGCAUCGGAACGUGCCCAGUCGUGGGGGAUAACUACUCGAAAGAGUAGCUAAUACCGCAUACGAUCUAUGGAUGAAAGCGGGGGACCGUGAGGCCUCGCGCGAUUGGAGCGGCCGAUGUCAGAUUAGGUAGUUGGUGGGGUAAAGGCUCACCAAGCCAACGAUCUGUAGCUGGUCUGAGAGGACAACCAGCCACACUGGGACUGAGACACGGCCCAGACUCCUACGGGAGGCAGCAGUGGGGAAUUUUGGACAAUGGGCGCAAGCCUGAUCCAGCAAUGCCGCGUGCAGGAAGAAGGCCUUCGGGUUGUAAACUGCUUUUGUACGGAACGAAACGGCUCUGGUUAAUACCCGGGGCUAAUGACGGUACCGUAAGAAUAAGCACCGGCUAACUACGUG